AUCUUUCUAGUAUAAAUUAGUACAAGUGACUUCCAAUCACUUAAUCUUGGUUAAACCCCUAGGAAAGAUA
rnacentral:tRNA from 1 species